GACGAACGCUGGCGGCGUGCUUAACACAUGCAAGUCGAGCGGAAAGGCCCUUUCGGGGGUACUCGAGCGGCGAACGGGUGAGUAACACGUGAGUAAUCUGCCCUUGGCUUUGGGAUAACCACCGGAAACGGUGGCUAAUACCGGAUAUGACGGGCUCCGGCAUCGGGUUCGUGGAAAGUUUUUCGGCCAGGGAUGUGCUCGCGGCCUAUCAGCUUGUUGGUGGGGUAAUGGCCUACCAAGGCUUCGACGGGUAGCCGGCCUGAGAGGGUGACCGGCCACACUGGGACUGAGACACGGCCCAGACUCCUACGGGAGGCAGCAGUGGGGAAUAUUGGACAAUGGGCGGAAGCCUGAUCCAGCAACGCCGCGUGAGGGAUGACGGCC
rnacentral:rRNA from 1 species